AUCUGAAAAAAGCAGAAAGCAGCAGUGAGGACUCAAGUGAGGACUCAGACUCUGAAGAUGGAGGAGGAGUUGCAGCAGCAAAAACAAAAGCAGCAACUGUCCAGCCAAAACCAAGUGUACAGAGCCCUCUGGGGGAAACCACAUUAGCCAAAAACUUACCAACCUCUACUGUACCUUCCAAAGGGCAUUCAGUAAAAGUAUCUACAGCCAAGACACCAGAGAACCAAAUCAGAACAGAAAUUGGAAAUACAGCUCAAAGCACGAAACCAGCAGAGAGUUCAGAGACUAGUGACUCCUCAGAGAGUGGUGAGGAUGAGGAGCCCAGGCCACUAACCCAGACAAAAUCACCUAGAAAAACACCUCAGGCAGCCACAGCAGUAGUGAAGAAUGCACCAUUAAGUACACCAUCCAGCAAAGUCUCUGUUUCAAGUCCAAUGAAACAAACUCCAAAACCAUCUGCGGCAAAGUUGCGAACCCCAUCAAAGAAAGCAGAGAGCUCAGAGAGCAGCGAGUCCUCAUCUGAGAGUGAAGAAGAAACUCAUCCAAUUCCAGUGAGCCAGAAGAGAUUGCAAACCCCGCCGCAUCCUGCUGGAGCUAAACAAAUUCAGGCUGAUAAAGGAAAGGAAGCAGUGAAUGAGAGCAGCAGCUCAUCUGACAGUGAAGAUGAAACAGUUCCAAUGGCUCUCAAAUCACCCCCUCGACCCGCAACCAAGGCAAGUACUCCAGCUCAGCCUGCCGGUGCCACGAAACCUGUAUCAGGAUCACUCCAGAAAGCCCAGCAGAGCGAAGACAGUAGCCAGGAUUCCAGCGAUGAGUCUGACUCUGAAGAAGACACAGUAUACACUCAGAAACCAUCUCAGGUGUCACAGAAACCUGUUUCCACUCCCGUGAAAGCUGUGACUGCAAAGAGUGCAAGUGUCACAGUAAACAAACCAGGAAAUUCUCAGCCAGGAGGAAAAGGGACAGCAAGCCCUGCAAAGCCAGUGGCUGUCUGUCUUCAGAAAGCAUCCGGGAGCUCUGAAACAGACAGCUCUGAUUCUUCAGAUUCCAAGACAGCUGCAAAAACAACAAAACAGCCCCCAAUUCAUCCUUUUUUUAAGCAGGUGGCAAGUAAAGCCAUUGCUGCUUCACCAAAAGGCCCACAGGUCAGUUCCAGUCCAAGUCUGGCCCCAGUAACAAAAAGGAAAGUGGAGCAAAACUCUUCCAAAAAGGCCAGACUGAGCCAAGGCCAAGCUCUUCCUGUUAAACCUUCUGGACCCCUCGAAAGCAAGGAGAGCUCAGGAAGCAGCACUUCCUCAGACAGCGAGGAAGAAGAGGAGAAAAAGGCAGCAAAACCAUCAGCAACAGCCAAACAAAUUCCACAGCCUGGCAUAGCCCAAAAAAGAGGGAUAAAAAAAAAAGACAGCUCAUCUGAAGAGUCCAGUGAUGAAGACCAGAAGCCUUCACAGUCCCUCUUGGCAGGUUCCUCCACCCCUUUUAAAACCACAACGUCUCCUGUGCUGCUGUCCAAACAGAGUCCUGCUAAAGCUGGGAAUCUGGGCAUCAGUGAGAAAUCAGCAAUUGCUGACAGCUCAUCAAGUGACAGUAGUGACUCAAACACGGAUGCUGAAGUAGCAAUUGCUCAGAAGGCAGAAACUAGCUCCUUGCCGGCUUCUGGGAAAGAAGCAAUUGUGGCCAAAGAGACUGCAGGUAAGGGGGCUACGGCAGGGAAAAAAGGACCAGGAAGGGACUCCUCCAAAGCCUCUGCCACCAAGAAGGCUACAGCAAAGACUCAAAGCAACGGGAAGGCAAAAGAAACCCUGGCCGCCAAGUUGCCAGUCACUUCUUUGUUCAAAGCUAACCCUACAGAUGUCAGUUCUAAGAGCAACGAGGGCCCUGUGGCCCAGGUUCCUGGCACAGGAGCUCUAGAUAAUACAGAUGGGGCCACCCCUGUCGUGGACAUCAAGACUCCAAAAGAAACAAAGGCACCCAAGAGCGGGGAGAAAAAGAAGCCAUCCAAGAAGCGGAAACUGGCAACAGGGGAAACUGUCUCAGGAGAGCCAAAAGAGAAGAAGUUGAAAGAGGAGAACAUUCUUGAUAUGCUGACCAAGAAAAAGAAGAAGAAGAAAUCUAAGUCCUCGGACAAUACUAAGCUGGCAAAGAAAGAUGGCAAAGAGAAAAAAUCAGAUAAGAAGAAAAAGAAGAGUAAAAAAAUGGAAUCCAUUAGUAAAGAUGGUUUGCAGAAGAAAAAGAAGAAAAAGAAGGUAAGACAUUUACUUGGUCAAAAUAUCUGUUUUCUUAAAUCGCUAAAGCUGCAACGAGAAAUAGAUAUACAGUAGAGUCUCACUUAUCCAACAUAAACGGGCCGGCAGCAUGUUGGAUAAGCGAAUAUGUUGGAUAAUAAGGAGGCAUUAAGGAAAAGUCUAUUAAACAUCAAAUUAGGUUAUGAUUUUACAAAUGAAGCACCAGAAGAUCAUGUUAGACAACAAAUUUGGCAGAAAAAGUAGUUCAAUACGCAGUAAUGCUAUGUAGUAAAUACUGUAUUUAUGAAUUUAGCACCAAAAUAUCACGAUAUAUUGAAAACAUUGACUACAAAAAUGCGUUGGAUAAUCCAGAAUGUUGGAUAAGCGAGUGUUGGAUAAGUGAAACUCUACUGUACCAAGAAAUAAGAUCCAAUAGAAUCUGUUAGACUUGUGUGGAGUGAACUGUCUCACACAGCCAUUUAGGAGUACCAUGUUUAGUUACAUGAAUGGUCUGCCAAGAUUGAUAUACUUCAAA
rnacentral:lncRNA from 1 species